UACGAAGGGGGCUAGCGUUGCUCGGAAUCACUGGGCGUAAAGCGCACGUAGGCGGACUCUUAAGUCGGUGGUGAAAUCCUGGAGCUCAACUCCAGAACUGCCUUCGAUACUGGGAGUCUCGAGUCCGGGAGAGGUGAGUGGAACUGCGAGUGUAGAGGUGAAAUUCGUAGAUAUUCGCAAGAACACCAGUGGCGAAGGCGGCUCACUGGCCCGGUACUGACGCUGAGGUGCGAAAGCGUGGGAGCAACAGG
rnacentral:rRNA from 1 species